rnacentral:rRNA from 1 species
UACGGAGGGGGCAAGCGUUAUCCGGAAUUACUGGGUUUAAAGGGUGCGUAGGCGGCUGUGUAAGUCAGAGGUGAAAUCCUGCAGCUUAACUGUAGAAUUGCCUUUGAUACUGCGUAGCUUGAAACAAGUUGAGGUUAGCUGAAUGUGACAUGUAGCGGUGAAAUGCAUAGAUAUGUCAUAGAACACCAAGUGCGAAGGCAGCUGACUGGGCUGGAUUUGACGCUGAGGCACGAAAGCGUGGGGAGCGAACAGG